AAGUCCCGCAAGGGAUCAGUAGAGUGGCAAACGGGUGAGUAACACGUGGGUGACCUGCCUUCGAGUGGGGGAUAACGUCCCGAAAGGGACGCUAAUACCGCAUGACAUCCUGCCUUUGAAGAGGUGGAGCUUAAAGCUGGGGAUCGCAAGACCUAGCGCUUGAAGAGGGGCCCGCGUCUGAUUAGCUAGUUGGUGAGGUAACGGCUCACCAAGGCAACGAUCAGUAUCCGGCCUGAGAGGAUGAUCAGCCACAUUGGGACUGAGACACGGCCCAAACUCCUACGGGAGGCAGCAGUGGGGAAUAUUGGACAAUGGGCGCAAGCCUGAUCCAGCCAUGCCGCGUGAGUGAUGACGGCCUUAGGG
rnacentral:rRNA from 1 species